CAACACUCCCUUUUCCAUUUUCCUAAAUUCCCAACCCAUCCCAACAGAAAAAAGGGAAAUGAUUUCAGAGUCAUAACUCCAAAUAAAGCAAAGGAAUGGAAAAAUGAAAUAGGGAGUACAGAUAUUUGACACACAUAGAGAUACCUACAGAACUGCACUACGGUGCAAAAACCUUUAAUAAGACUUCGUGCAAUAAGAAUUAAGGAAAUUGGUUUGCUACAGUGACAAUACAGUGGCAUUCCUCCCACAAACAGGGAUUGCAUUCCCUAGGAUGUAUAGUUAUUAAAGGCUCAAG
rnacentral:misc_RNA from 1 species